CAGCAGCCGCGGGAAUACGGAGGGAGCUAGCGUUGUUCGGAAUUACUGGGCGUAAAGCGCACGUAGGCGGUUAUUCAAGUCAGAGGUGAAAGCCCGGGGCUCAACCCCGGAACUGCCUUUGAAACUAGAUGACUGAAAUCUUGGAGAGGUCAGUGGAAUUCCGAGUGUAGAGGUGAAAUUCGUAGAUAUUCGGAAGAACACCAGUGGCGAAGGCGACUGACUGGACAAGUAUUGACGCUGAGGUGCGAAAGCGUGGGGAGCAAACAGGAUUAGAUACCCCUGCAGUCCCUGUCUCUUAUAC
rnacentral:rRNA from 1 species